rnacentral:rRNA from 1 species
GACGAACCGUGCGAACGUUGUUCGGAAUCACUGGGCUUAAAGGGCGCGUAGGCGGGCCCCCAAGUCCGGGGUGAAAGCCUCCCGCUUAACGGGAGAAGAGCCUCGGAGACUGGGGGCCUCGAGGAGGGUAGGGGCGUGCGGAACUAUGGGUGGAGCGGUGAAAUGCAUUGAUAUCCAUAGGAACUCCGGUGGCGAAGGCGGCACGCUGGACCCUUUCUGACGCUGAGGCGCGAAAGCCAGGGGAGCAAACGGG